UGGGGAAUAUUGCACAAUGGGCGCAAGCCUGAUGCAGCCUUGCCGCUUGUAUGAAGAAGGCCUUCGGGUUGUAAAGUACUUUCAGCGGGGAGGAAGGGAGUAAAGUUAAUACCUUUGCUCAUUGACGUUACCCGCAGAAGAAGCACCGGCUAACUCCGUGCCAGCAGCCGCGGUAAUACGGAGGGUGCAAGCGUUAAUCGGAAUUACUGGGCGUAAAGCGCACGCAGGCGGUUUGUUAAGUCAGAUGUGAAAUCCCCGGGCUCAACCUGGGAACUGCAUCUGAUACUGGCAAGCUUGAGUCUCGUAGAGGGGGGUAGAAUUCCAGGUGUAGCGGUGAAAUGCGUAGAGAUCUGGAGGAAUACCGGUGGCGAAGGCGGCCCCCUGGACGAAGACUGACGCUCAGGUGCGAAAGCGUGGGGAGCAAACAGG
rnacentral:rRNA from 1 species